rnacentral:rRNA from 1 species
GUGCCAGCAGCCGCGGUAAUACGUAGGUGGCAAGCGUUGUCCGGAAUUAUUGGGCGUAAAGCGCGCGCAGGCGGUUCCUUAAGUCUGAUGUGAAAGCCCCCGGCUCAACCGGGGAGGGUCAUUGGAAACUGGGGAACUUGAGUGCAGAAGAGAAGAGUGGUAAUUCCACGUGUAGCGGUGAAAUGCGUAGAGAUGUGGAGGAACACCAGUGGCGAAGGCGACUCUUUGGUCUGUAACUGACGCUGAGGCGCGAAAGCGUGGGAGCAAACAGGAUUAGAUACCUGGUAGUCC